CUUUGGGGUGUGACUGCGUACCUUUUGUAUAAUGGGUCAGCGACUUAUAUUCUGUAGCAAGGUUAACCGUAUAGGGGAGCCGGAGGGAAACCGAGUCUUAACCGGGCGUUAAGUUGCAGGGUAUAGACCCGAAACCCGGUGAUCUAGCCAUGGGCAGGUUGAAGGUUGGGUAACACUAACUGGAGGACCGAACCGACUAAUGUUGAAAAAUUAGCGGAUGACCUGUGGCUGGGGGUGAAAGGCCAAUCAAACCGGGAGAUAGCUGGUUCUCCCCGAAAGCUAUUUAGGUAGCGCCUCGUGAAUUCAUCUCCGGGGGUAGAGCACUGUUUCGGCUAGGGGGCCAUCCCGGCUUACCAACCCGAUGCAAACUGCGAAUACCGGAGAAUGUUAUCACGGGAGACACACGGCGGGUGCUAACGUCCGUCGUGAAGAGGGAAACAACCCAGACCGCCAGCUAAGGUCCCAAAGUCAUGGUUAAGUGGGAAACGAUGUGGGAAGGCCCAGACAGCCAGGAUGUUGGCUUAGAAGCAGCCAUCAUUUAAAGAAAGCGUAAUAGCUCACUGGUCGAGUCGGCCUGCGCGGAAGAUGUAACGGGGCUAAACCAUGCACCGAAGCUGCGGCAGCGACGCUGAUGCGUUGUUGGGUAGGGGAGCGUUCUGUAAGCCUGCGAAGG
rnacentral:rRNA from 1 species